AGGAUAAACGCUGGCGGCGUGCCUAACACAUGCAAGUCGAACGCGCUUUCGGGCUUCGGUGCGAGAGCGAGUGGCGGACGGGUGAGUAACACAUGGGUACCUACCUUGGAGUGAGGGAUACCGGCGAGAAAUCGCCGACAAUACCGCAUAGGCUUCUUCACAAGGGAAGCAAAGUGACGCGAGUCACGCUGUGAGAUGGGCCUGUGGCCGAUUAGCUAGUUGGGGGGGUAACGGCUUCCCAAGGCGACGAUCGGUAGCUGGUCUGAGAGGACGAUCAGCCACACUGGGAUUGAGAACGGCCCAGACUCCUACGGGGGGCAGCAGUGAGGAAUUUUCCGCAAUGGAGGCAACUCUGACGGAGCAACGCCGCGUGCAGGAGGAAGGUUUUCGGAUCGUAAACUGCUUUUCUCGGGGACGAGCAAGGACGGUACCCGAGGAACGAAGCCCCGGCUAACUACGUGCCAGCAGCCGGC
rnacentral:rRNA from 1 species